AAAAGGUGGCUAUGCUACCGCUUUUGGAUGGGCCCGCGGCGCAUUAGCUAGUUGGUGGGGUAAAGGCUUACCAAGGCAAUGAUGCGUAGCCGAAUUGAGAGGUUGAUCGGCCACAUUGGGACUGAGACACGGCCCAAACUCCUACGGGAGGCAGCAGUAGGGAAUCUUCCACAAUGGGCGAAAGCCUGAUGGAGCAACGCCGCGUGGGUGAAGAAGGUCUUCGGAUCGUAAAACCCUGUUGUUAGAGAAGAAAGUGCGUGAGAGUAACUGUUCACGUUUCGACGGUAUCUAACCAGAAAGCCACGGCUAACUACGUGCCAGCAGCCGCGGUAAUACGUAGGUGGCAAGCGUUAUCCGGAUUUAUUGGGCGUAAAGGGAACGCAGGCGGUCUUUUAAGUCUGAUGUGAAAGCCUUCGGCUUAACCGGAGUAGUGCAUUGGAAACUGGGAGACUUGAGUGCAGAAGAGGAGAGUGGAACUCCAUGUGUAGCGGUGAAAUGCGUAGAUAUAUGGAAGAACACCAGUGGCGAAAGCGGCUCUCUGGUCUGUAACUGACGCUGAGGUUCGAAAGCGUGGGUAGCAAACAGGAUUAGAUACCCUGGUAGUCCACGCCGUAAACGAUGAAUGCUAAGUGUUGGAGGGUUUCCGCC
rnacentral:rRNA from 1 species